rnacentral:rRNA from 1 species
CGCGUAGGUGGUAGUGAAAGUCUAUGGUGGAAUCUUAGGGCUUAACCCUAAAACUGCCUUGGAAACUUCAUUACUUGAGUCAGUGAGGGGAGGGUAGAAUUCCUGGUGUAGCGGUGAAAUGCGUAGAUAUCAGGAGGAAGGCCGGUGGCGAAGGCGGCCCUCUGGCGCUGAACUGACGCUGAGGCGCGAAAGCGUGGGUAGCAAACAGGAUUAGAUACCCUGGUAGUCCUAGCCCUAAACGAUGAGCACUGGAUGUGGCCCCGCACGGGGCUGUGUCGGAGCUAACGCGUUAAGUGCUCCGCCUGGGGAGUACGGUCGCAAGGCUGAA